ensembl:lncRNA
CUUUUGUCUCUCGGCAAGAAGCUUUCCUCCGGGAAAGAUAAAGUAAUCGAUAGGGUCUUUUAAAUAGCUCCGCGUUUCCUGUUGGGAGAGGAGUAUCAGCGCGCGCACCAAAUCUGCUCUGAUUCCAGAAAGCAACAUGCUCCCUGAUGAAAAGGCCAUGGUCAUUGUCUUGCGGGAUUGGCCUGGCCUGGCUCUGACAGUUCUCAGCUGCUCCAUAAAUCUCGCAUCAGUUCCAUCUGGCCAAAAAGAUGUCAUCACCGUUUUCUCAUAGCGACGAAGAGGAAAAGAUCAUGUGCUCUGGGGGGAGCUAGCUGCCACAUUGUGAGGAUGCUCAAGCAGCCCUGUGGUCCCUAUGGCAACUGAUGAAGGCCUCCUACUAACAGCCAGCUUGAACGUGCCAGCCAGCCGAACAGUGCUGAAAGUGAGCAUUUCAGCCCCAGUCAAGCCUUCAGAUGGCUGCAGCUGACUACAGCUUCCUGAGAGACUCCCAAGCCAGAACACC